UGGGGGAUAUUGCACAAUGGGCGAAAGCCUGAUGCAGCGACGCCGCGUGGGGGAUGAAGGCUUUCGGGUUGUAAACCUCUUUCGCUAUCGAACAAGGCCCGCUUAGGGUGGGUUGAGGGUAGGUGGAGAAGAAGCGCCGGCUAACUACGUGCCAGCAGCCGCGGUAAUACGUAGGGCGCGAGCGUUGUCCGGAAUUAUUGGGCGUAAAGGGCUUGUAGGCGGGUUGUUGCGCCUGCUGUGAAAACGCGGGGCUUAACUUCGCGCGUGCAGUGGGGACGGGCAGGCUUGAGUGUGGUAGGGGUGACUGGAAUUCCAGGUGUAGCGGUGGAAUGCGCAGAUAUCUGGAGGAACACCGAUGGCGAAGGCAGGUCACUGGGCCAUUACUGACGCUGAGGAGCGAAAGCAUGGGUAGCGAACAGG
rnacentral:rRNA from 1 species